UUUUAUAGUUUACUUAUAAUUAAAAUAAUUAUAUUAGAAAAAUAAUUUAUAUAAAAAGUAUCUUUUAGUGAAAUGUGUUUACAAAGUGAUAGAGAAUUAGUACUGUAUAGGAAUAUUUAUAAAUGAUUUUUUAGUAAAGAUUAAUUCUUGUAUCUUGUGUAUUAGAGAAAUUUGAUAUAAUUUAAAUAAUUUAAAUAUCUCGAAAUAAAUACAGUUAAUUAAAUAUAAUAGUUUUUGUAAAAAAUUAAUUAUAAAUAUAUAAUUAAAGAUGAAAUAUCAAUCGAGAUUUAUUAUAUCUAGUUUUUUUAGAAUAAAAUUGAAUUUUUUGCUUAUAUUAAAAUAAUAUAAGAUUAAAAAGCAGGAGGGAUAAGCUUCUUGUAAAUAAUUUAAAAUAGUUAAAUUUUUAUGUAAUAAAUAAAUUAGGCUUAAAAAUAGCUUUAUUGGUAAAGUGUUUUAAUUAAAUUUAUGUUAUAAAAUAAUUUAUAUUAACUUUUAUUUUUAUAAAAAAAUUAAUUAAAUUAAUUUUAUAUUAAGAUAAAAUAGAUUUAUAAGUAUAAAUUGGUGUGUAUUAGAUAUAUUAAAUUAUUUAUUAUUUUUAAGAAUUUAAAAUGAAAUAUUAAAGGAAUUCGGCAAAAUUAUUUCUUUGCCUGUUUAUCAAAAACAUGUCUGCUUGUAGAUAUAAGGAGUCUAUUCUGCUCUCUGAUAAUUAUUUAAGGGCCGCGGUAAUUUGACCGUGCAAAGGUAGCGUAAUAGUUAGUUUUUUAAUUGGAAUCUUGUAUGAAUGGUUGGACAAAAGAAAUACUGUCUCUAUAAUUUUUAUUGAAUUUAACUCUUAAGUGAAAAGGCUUAAAUGUUUUAAAAAGACGAUAAGACCCUAUAAAGCUUUAUAAUUAAUUCUAUUUAACUAAAUUAAUAAAUAAAAUUUUAAUAGAUUAAAUUAUUUUAUUGGGGAGAUAAAAUUAUAAUUUAAAAUAACUGUUUAAAAUUAAUACAAUUAUAUAUGUAUAAUUAAAAUAAUAGAUCCUAUAUAAAGAUUAAAAGUUUAAGUUACUUUAGGGAUAACAGCGUUAUUUUUCUUGAGAGUUCUUAUCGAAAGAAAAGAUUGCGACCUCGAUGUUGAAUUAAAAUUCCUAGAUAAUUGUAGAAGUUAUCGUUUAGUAGGUCUGUUCGACCUUUAAAAUUUUACAUGAUUUGAGUUCAGACCGGCGUGAGCCAGGUUGGUUUCUAUCUUUUAGUGAAAAUUAAAUUAUCUUAGUACGAAAGGAUUAGGUAAUUAAAAUUAUUUUAUAGGUAUG
rnacentral:rRNA from 1 species